rnacentral:tRNA from 9 species
GGGGAUAUAGCUCAGCUGGGAGAGCACCUGCCUUGCACGCAGGGGGUCAAGGGUUCGAUUCCCUUUAUCUCCACCA